rnacentral:pre_miRNA from 1 species
UUAGCUCAUAUUUGUAUGAAAUGGGAUCGUUUGCGUACGUUUGCCGCUAGGGGCGCUGUUCCAAUUGCAUACAAAAUUAGGUUA